rnacentral:lncRNA from 1 species
CGAUUCCCCUGCCUCAGCCUCUCGAGUUGCUGGAACUACAGGCACGUGCCACCACGCUGAGCUAAUUUUUAUACUUUUAGUAGAGACGGAGUUUCACCAUGUUGGCCAGGAUGGUCUCAAUCUCUUGACCUCGUGAUCCACCUGCCUCGGCCUCCCAAAGUGCUGGGAUUACAGGCAUUAGCCAUGGCGCACAGCCUGGAACACUGUGCAACUGUGAAAAAAAUUAAUCUAUAGAGAGGAUAAUCACACAAGGUUAUACAAGUGGUUCAUAGAAGUGGAAAUUAUGGAACUGUGGAUGUGACAGAGCCAUUGCUGAAAAAUAUGUUUGUUGGCAGCUAAGAGUAGUCAUUACGAAAAAGAAGACUUUUAUGACUUUUAUGGGGAGAAUGAGGACAGCACUAACAUUUAUUGAAGACCUGUUUUGUCUGAUGGUUAGGAAGAGUCUGACUCCAUGUUUUAUAUUUGACUGCACAGCAUUUAGGCUCCUACCCUGCCCUGCCCAAACACUAUAUAUCUGGUACUAUAGACAAAUAAACCUGCAUGCCUUUUGAGAUUUUGGGUCCUGUGGAAAUUUGAACUUCACAGCCCCAGACUGAAUGUGAGAACUCCUCUCCAGCCCCACUCUCUCGCCAUUACAAAAGUCAAACCAACUCUCUGCUCAUUGUUCUUGCCGUUCUAGCCAGAUCAGCUUGCAGUUACCUUGCUCUAUGUACAAUUUCCUGAUGUGAAUAAUAAACUCCUUGCAAAUUAUCAAGGUGUGUGAAGUGUCGUCAGUCUGGAUAUGUGGCCUAUUAACUG